CCCUUUCCCAGGUGUUUGACGACUUUUGUUGCUUGUUUUUCACCUCUAAACCCUCUAAACUUCAAUAGUUCUUUCCCCAAACACUUAGAAUCAUUUAUACCCUCAAUAUAUGAUAGAUUCAAACUAAAAUUACACCCGAAAACACGAAUCAAAUCGCAAAAAUCAUCAACAACACAACCCACAAGAAAUUCAAACGAAACUUCAACAAUGUUCAUCAAGAACUCAAUUUCUAAGCUUUCAAAGAC
rnacentral:lncRNA from 1 species